UACGGAGGAUGCAAGCGUUAUCCGGAAUGAUUGGGCGUAAAGCGUCCGCAGGUGGCUGUGUAAGUCUGCUGUUAAAGAGUGAGGCUCAACCUCAUAAAGGCAGUGGAAACUACAUGGCUAGAGUGCGUUCGGGGCAGAGGGAAUUCCUGGUGUAGCGGUGAAAUGCGUAGAUAUCAGGAAGAACACCGGUGGCGAAAGCGCUCUGCUAGGCCGCAACUGACACUGAGGGACGAAAGCUAGGGGAGCGAAUGGG
rnacentral:rRNA from 1 species